rnacentral:rRNA from 1 species
CAGUCGACGGAGAAGGGGAGCUUGCUCCUUGAGUAUCAGUGGCGAACGGGUGAGUAAUACGUAGGGACCUACCUCACGGACAGGGAUAGCUACUGGAAACGGUAGGUAAGACCGGAUAAUAUCGAGAGAUAAAAGCAGAGAAGCGCCGGGAGAGGGGCCUACGACCCAUCAGGUAGUUGGUAGGGUAAAAGCCUACCAAGCCGACGACGGGUAGCCGAUGUGAGAGCAUGAUCGGCCACAAGGGAACUGAGACACGGAUCCUACUCCUACGGGAGGCAGCAGUGGGGAAUAUUGGACAAUGCACGGAAGUGUGAUCCAGCGACGCCGCGUGAAGGAAGAAGUCCUCCGGGAUGUAAACUUCUGAACUUACAGAAUAACAGCAUAGGGGUACCUAUGCAUGAAGGUAAGUAAGGAAAAGCCCCGGCUAACUACGUGCCAGCAGCCGCGGUAAGACGUAGGGGGCGAGCGUUGCCCGGAAUCACUGGGCGUAAAGGGGGCGUAGGCGGUCUCAAAAGUCAGGUGUGAAAUGUCACUGCUCAACGGUGUCAGUGCGCAUGAAACUGUGAGACUUGAGGGGACCAGAGGUAGACGGAAUUACCUGAGUAGGGGUGAAAUCCGUAGAUACAGGUAAGAACGCCAGUGGGGAAGCCGGUCUACUGGGGUGACCCUGACGCUGAGGCCCGAAAGCUAGGGGAGCGAACCGGAUUAGAUACCCGGGUAGUCCUAGCAGUAAACGAUGCUCACUAGGUGUGGGGGCAAGAAAGCUCCGUGCUGAAGCAA